rnacentral:rRNA from 1 species
UCGGACUCAACGCCGGGAAACUCACCAGAUAAGACAGCUGAAUGAUAGUCGGGCUGAAGACUCUACUUGACUAGCUGAGAGGAGGUGCAUGGCCGUCGUCAGUUCGUACUGUGAAGCAUCCUGUUAAGUCAGGCAACGAGCGAGACCCACGCCAACAGUUGCCAGCAUGUCCUCCGGGAUGAUGGGGACACUGUUGGGACCGCCUCUGCUAAAGAGGAGGAAGGAAUGGGCAACGGUAGGUCAGCAUGCCCCGAAUUAUCCGGGCUACACGCGGGCUACAAUGGUCAGGACAAUGGGUAUCGACACCGAGAGGUGGAGGCAAUCUCCUAAACCUGUCCUUAGUUCGGAUUGUGGGCUGCAACUCGCCCACAUGAAGCUGGAAUCCGUAGUAAUCGCGUUUCAAAAUAGCGCGGUGAAUAUGUCCCUGCUCCUU